UCAGAUGUCCGGGGCCGCACGCGCGCUACACUGAAGGAAUCAGCGUGUGCUCUCCCGGUCCGGCAGGAUCGGGUAACCMGUUGAACCUCCUUCGUGAYAGGGAYAGGGGCUUGUAACUGUUCCCCUUGAACKAGGAAUUUCCAGUAAGCRCGAGUCAUAAGCUCGYGUUGAUUACGUCCCUGCCCUUUGUACACACCGCCCGUCGCUACYWYCGAUUGAAUGAUUUAGUGAGGUCUUCGGACUGGUGCYCGAACUCKGUYYYCGGACSGGGCCGAAGUGCCGGAAAGAUGACCGAACUUGAUCAUUUAGAGRAAGUAAAAGUCGUAACAAGGUUUCC
rnacentral:rRNA from 1 species